rnacentral:lncRNA from 1 species
AAAAACCGAAAUUUCGAUUUUUCUCAAAAACUAUAAUUUUUUCAAUUUUGAUAAUUAUGUGCAAGGUGCCCCUUUGCGAGAAGUACUUGGCAGUUUUUAAAUGAAAGCUCUAUCUUUAAUAACAAAAAAGUUAUGCAAAAUUUUCGAUCUAAAAAAGUACAUGUUAAUCGUAAAAAACCGAAAUUUCGAUUUUUCUCAAAAACUAUAAUUUUUUCAAUUUUGAUAAUUAUGUGCAAGGUGCCCCUUUACGAGGAGUACCUGGCAGUUUUUAAAUGAAAGCUCUAUCUUAAUAACAAAAAAGUUAUGCAAAAUUUUCGAUCUAAAAAAGUACAUGUUAAUCGUAAAAAACCUAAAUUUCGAUUUUUCUCAAAAACUAUAAUUUUUUUAAUUUUGAUAAUUAUGUGCAAGGUGCCCCUUUGCGAGGAGUACUUGGCAGUUUUUAAAUGAAAGCUCUAUCUUUAAUAACAAAAAAGUUAUGCAAAAUUUUCGAUCUAAAAAAGUACAUGUUAAUUGUAAAAAACCGAAAUUUCGAUUUUUCUCAAAAACUAUAAUUUUUUCAAUUUUGAUAAUUACGCGAAAAGUGCCCCUUCGCUAGGAGUACUUAACAGUUUUUAAAUGAAAGCUCUAUCUGUAAUAACAAAAAAGUUAUGCAAAAUUUUCGAUCUAAAAAAGUACAUGUUAAUUGUAAAAAACCGAAAUUUCGAUUUUUCUCAAAAACUAUAAUUUUUUCAAUUUUGAUAAUUAUGUGCAAGGUGCCCCUUCGCUAGGAGUACUUGACUGUUUUUAAAUGAAAGCUCUAUCUUUAAUAACAAAAAAGUAAUGCAAAAUUUUCGAUCUAAAAAAGUACAUGUUAAUUGUAAAAAACCGAAAUUUCGAUUUUUCUCAAAAACUAUAAUUUUUUCAAUUUUAAUAAUUAUGUGCAAGGUGCCCCUUCGCUAGGACUACUUGACUGUUUUUAAAUGAAAGCUCUAUCUUUAAUAACAAAAAAGUUAUGCAAAAUUUUCGAUCUAAAAAAGUACAUGUUAAUUGUAAAAAACCGAAAUUUCGAUUUUUCUCAAAAACUAUAAUUUUUUUAAUUUUGAUAAUUAUGUGCAAGGUGCCCCUUUGCGAGGAGUACUUGGCAGUUUUUAAAUGAAAGCUCUAUCUUUAAUAACAAAAAAGUUAUGCAAAAUUUUCGAUCUAAAAAUGUACAUGUUAAUCGUAAAAAACCUAAAUUUCGAUUUUUCUCAAAAACUAUAAUUUUUUCAAUUUUGAUAAUUAUGUGCAAGGUGCCCCUUUACGAGGAGUACUUGGCAGUUUUUAAAUGAAAGCUCUAUCUUUAAUAACAAAAAAGUUAUGCAAAAUUUUCGAUCUAAAAAAGUACAUGUUAAUUGUAAAAAACCGAAAUUUUGAUUUUUCUCAAAAACUAUAAUUUUUUCUAUUUUGAUAAUUACGCGAAAGGUGCCCCUUCGCUAGGAGUACUUAACAGUUUUUAAAUGAAAGCUCUAUCUGUAAUAACAAAAAAGUUAUGCAAAAUUUUCGAUCUAAAAAAGAACAUGUUAAUUGUAAAAAACCGAAAUUUCGAUUUUUCUCAAA